rnacentral:lncRNA from 10 species
ACGAUUUGAGAUGAGAUUUGGGUGGGGACAGAGACCCAAAGCAUAUCAUUCAGUGAGGGAGCACGCAUCUGCACAGCCCUGCGCCUUGGGUGCCACCUUUCCUGGCUGGGAGUGUCCUGAAAGUUAUUUGUCUCUGAGGGGAAAGUUUGUAAGAAGACAGUGUUUCUAAGCCUGAGAGUCCAUCAUCAAAGCCAACCUCAGAAGAAACUGAGAAGGUUUCUUCUCAGGCCUGUGUUCUAUUGGCCCUGGAUUACCAUUUCAAAAUCUUUACUCUUUGAUGGCCACGUCCUUACCCACUUCUGACUGCCUUCUUGAUCUGCUAUGUCCGGAGUUGGUUCCUUCCGGCAGGUUCGUGGUCUCGCUAACUUGAAGAAUGGAGCUACAGAACUUCACACUACCGCAGUGCUGUCCCUGCAGACAGAAUUUGGGAGAGGUACUCAGAGUCACCUCCUGUGAGCCUAUGCAAGCCAGCUCCUGCACAACCCUGGUUUUAGUCCAGGUAAAGGCCCGCCCAGGUGUUUGAAUAUGGACUCCUCACAUACUUCUGCAGACUCCAGCUUUGGGUUGACCCAUCGGGGAGAGGGAACUUAGCAUGAACCCUUGUAUAAAAAUGAAAAUCUCUUUCAUUGGAAGGGAAGAUCACUGACUGGGCUAGUCUCCCAAGACCUAGGAAAGAGCUUGGCUGUCAGAGGGUGAGCUAGGGAACGAACUGUGCUUGUUGAUAUCCACAUCCAAGGCUGAUGGCCGGAGGAGGCAGUUAAGAGCAAAAGGCAAUGGACCAAACUACAUCAAAGAUGGGAUUAUAACAAAACUUUAAAAGUUGGUUUACAAUGCAGAAAAUUCAUUCUUCUGGAAACAGACUUGAAAAAAAUAAAAUAUUUACUCUACCUUUCUUGUUCAGAACCAUGCCUUAGGGUAGGUAAAUAUUUGAUUAUGAAAGGUUCUUUGUGUGGAAUAAAUCUAAGUAAUAAUUGCUGAAGAAAUGAUAUGAUUAAGAUAUGGCCAUCUUUGGUCAGGCGUGGUGGCUCACGCCUGUAAUCCCAGCACUUUAGGAG